rnacentral:lncRNA from 1 species
CACCCCUCCCAACAGAAGCCUGAAGGUGGGUCAGAAGCCGUCCCCAAUCAAGUGAGCUAUAAUUAGAGCUGAAAUGCUAUUGCCAUUAGGCAAAUGUUCUGGGCUUUUCCAUUGUGACUCCUGGCUACAUUUGAUAGGUACAGAACACAGAACCAGAGGGAAACAGAGCUGGGAGAAACCCCAGCCAGCUAGGGACAGACAACAUAAUCGGGGAAAACACAAGAAUUGGGACCUUCUCUCAAAUCCCUUUCCCGCUCAAUGCAACUCCCUUCACUGACACUAUUUUAACACUGUAAGAAUCUAACAUCUUAAUAUCUAACACACUGUUGUGUUGGGGAGAGGGGGCUUGCAGCCAAAAUAUAAUAAUACAAAUAACACUGCCAUUUACUCCAGCGAUGAUACUUGCAUUCUUUCAUUUGAUUCUCACAAUCCCUCUAAGGCAGGUACCAUUACCACAUUUUACAGAUGAGUAAACUGAGGUUCAGGAUGACUGGGCAGCUUGCCCGAGGUCUAACAGGUUAAAAGACCUGAACCCAACUAUAUCCAAUCCCAAACUCACUACACUUUACUGCCUAUAAUCUUUCUUUUAGGGGUAGGGAAUGGGGCUCCAUCCUGGGAGCUGGCAUAGCCCCAGGAACCUGGUGGGCCGUGGAGGUUGCUAUGGCAACACCAAUUAAAUGGAUAGCAGGUUGGCUGCUAGGUUCUCAUUCAGUUGGGAAGCAGUGAGCAAGCCUGCUAUCAGGUCCUGCUGCCCCAAAUUCUGCCUGACCCUGACCAGAGCUCCCACUCUAGCCAACUUCCUCCAGGCAGUCUUCCGCCUUGCCUACACCGACCAAUGUAACACAGGAAGUGGGUAUCAUGGCUCUUGCACCCCAGCUAGCACAAGCAAGGGGGAAAGGGGGUCUCAGAAUACUAAGAGUUUAGGAAUCUAGGAAUGGAGAAGAUUCUGGAAUUCCGGAGUGUUACUGAUCAGGGCCCAGAGGGAGGUGGGAAGAUAUGCAGGGCUUCACAGUGAGUAGCUGGAAGAGCCCACAGGAGAGCUGGGCUUCUGUCUCCUGGGGUGCUGCCUUGGCUACUGCUCCCAUAGACGCCUUAUGAAACCUCAGAGAGCUCGAAGAGCCUUUUUUCAUAAAAGGGAGACCUGCCAUGGAUAAGCUGUUGCCAAGAGGAUGAAAGUCACAAGUGGGCGUGGCAGGGCUUUGUUCCUUCUGAAGCUCAGGACAAAGCACUGGGCUUCCCUCCUGCCUGGGAGCCUUCAGGACGGCAUGGAGUUUGGCCACGUGGUGGGAGCGCCCUGAGUGCGUGGCACAGAAUGUUCAACUGGUUACCUCUCCUGAGCCUCACAGCCUCUCAAGGAAGAUCUGAGGAGGAAACUGAGGCCCACCCCCACCCAGACUGAGGGGCA